rnacentral:tRNA from 1 species
GGGCGAUUAGCUCAGCUGGCUAGAGUGCCUGCUUGACAUGCAGGAGGUCAGAGGUUCAAGUCCUCUAUCGCCCACCA